AGCAAGAAGCUGGCCUUGGACAUCCAGAGAACCAUCCAGGGAACAACAAUCUCCAUUUCUAAGAAAGGCUGCUGCUGCAUGGCUUGUGUGGCCCACUCUGGGAUGGCUGCAGAUGAAAUAGCAGAGAAUAUUGAUUCAGCUGUCAGCACCAUCGUGACAAAACUACGCAUGAAAGAACCAUUGAUAAAGAUCAUCCACUUGAAAAGCCAAUCAGUGGAUCUGCCCAUCUACACCUCUAACCUGAGUAACCUGACCCUGAUAGAGGAAACACAGAAACAGACCAUGGCUGCCAUGGAUGCCAAGGAAAAAUGCAAGCAAACAGAAGUCUGCAAAGAAAGAACAGAAGCCUACAGAAAAGAACUCUGGUGCUGACGGGGAGGAAGAGGUUCCCAUAGUAACGCCAAGAAAAAAGGCUAAACUGGAGGUCUAUACCCCGCUAGUGUCAACCAAAUGCAUUUUAAUAUUGGAGCCUUAUUCAUUGAACCUGCAGAGCAAGAAGCUGGCCUUGGACAUCCAGAGAACCAUCCAGGGAACAACAAUCUCCAUUUCUAAGAAAGGCUGCUGCUGGUGAGGCCUGCUCCCUGACUUACAUGGCUUGUGUGGCCCACUCUGGGAUGGCUGCAGAUGAAAUAGCAGAGAAUAUUGAUUCAGCUGUCAGCACCAUCGUGACAAAACUACGCAUGAAAGAACCAUUGAUAAAGAUCAUCCACUUGAAAAGCCAAUCAGUGGAUCUGCCCAUCUACACCUCUAACCUGAGUAACCUGACCCUGAUAGAGGAAACACAGAAACAGACCAUGGCUGCCAUGGAUGCCAAGG